rnacentral:snRNA from 1 species
GUCCUCACUGCUGAUGUGAGAGGAAUUUUUGCGCGGGUACAGGUCGCCCCAGGGUGACCCGCUUACUUCGCGGGAUGCCCGGGAGCCGCGAUCUGCCCG